GGACCCGCACAAGCGGUGGAGCAUGUGGUUUAAUUCGAUGCAACGCGAAAAACCUUACCUACUCUUGACAUACUUGGAAGCUCUUGUAAUGAGAGUGUGCCUUCGGGAGCCAAGAUACAGGUGCUGCAUGGCUGUCGUCAGCUCGUGUCGUGAGAUGUUCCGUUAAGUCGGAUAACGAGCGCAACCCUUACCCUUAUUUGCCAGCGAUUCGGUCGGGAACUAUAAGGGGACUGCCGGUGAUAAACCGGAGGAAGGUGAGGACGACGUCAAGUCAUCAUGGCCCUUACGUAUAGGGCUACACACGUGCUACAAUGGGGAAUACAGACGGACGCUAAGCCGCGAGGUGGUGCU
rnacentral:rRNA from 1 species